rnacentral:rRNA from 1 species
GAUGAACGCUAGCGGCAGGCCUAAUACAUGCAAGUCGAACGGUGUCUUCGGACAUAGUGGCGCACGGGUGCGUAACACGUAUGCAACCUACCUUACAUUGGGGGAUAGCCUUUCGAAAGGGAGAUUAAUACCGCAUAAGACAGUAGCUGGGCAUCCAGCAGCUGUUAAAGAUUUAUCGAUGUAAGAUGGGCAUGCGUCCAAUUAGUUAGUUGGCGAGGUAAUGGCUCACCAAGACUUUGAUUGGUAGGGGAACUGAGAGGUCAAUCCCCCACACUGGCACUGAGAUACGGGCCAGACUCCUACGGGAGGCAGCAGUAGGGAAUAUUGGGCAAUGGACGCAGGUCUGACCCAGCCAUGCCGCGUGCAGGAUGAAGGCGUUAUGCGUUGUAAACUGCUUUUAUACAGGAAGAAACGACUCUUGCGAGAGGCAUUGACGGUACUGUAUGAAUAAGCACCGGCUAACUCCGUGCCAGCAGCCGCCGUAACAC